UCCGCCAGAGAACUACAAGUGAAAAACUUGAAACUCAAAGGACUUGACGGUGUCCCAUAUCGACCUAGAGGAGCCUGUCCUAUAAUCGAUACCCCCCGUUCCACCCAACCCCAACUAGCAAAAUACCAGCCUAUAUACCGCCGUCGACAGUCUACCCCAUGAGGGCUCAACAGUAGAUACAAUAGCCUUAACGCUAAUACGUCAGGUCAAGGUGUAGCAGAUGUUGGGGAAAAGAUUGGCUACAUUUUUUAUGAUAAAAAACACGAAUUGCACUAUGAAACACUGCAUGAAGGUGAAUUUAGUAGUAAAACAGACAAGAGUGUCUGUUUUAACAACGCUCUGG
rnacentral:rRNA from 1 species